UGAAAACCUAUGAGUGAUCUUUCAUCAUGUUCACAAGUGGAGAAAAGCAUAGACUGGGAAACCUUCUGCCCAGUGUGUCAUGAAAUGUACCCAGAUGAUGAAGAGAGACAUUUCACAAAAUUAAAAACAUUUAAAAAAAAUCUUCUAUGUCAAGGAAGCACUAAAAAGAAGGAAUACGAGUUAUGCUUUGUCAACCAAAAAAUCUCGCCUUCGAUCACUGUACUUUUCAGAUAUGUAAACCAGUCUUCGGAAUGAGAGAGAUUGAAUAAGAGAAUCAGUGCACCUGCCAGCAUGCAAAUACCUGCUGAAGGAGAAGAGAAUGAAUCCCACUCUUCCUCCCCAAAAAACUAUCAGAAAACCUUGUGUUUUGCAGCUGUUGAUGACUGAAUCAUUAAUCAAGCAGACAAAUAUGGAAAUCCUAUACAAAUUUAAGCAAAUAGUGUUUGACAUUUAGAUCAGUUGAUAAAGACAAGCUGUUUGAGCCUUUUGAGGAGUGUUUGUUUAAGCUAUUAGCAUGAGGAACACAGAGUUUUAAACAAACAAUGGGUCCAAUUUUGAUCUCAGUUACACCAGGGAAACGUUGGCUUGACUCCAUUGGUUUAACAGAGCCUUUCCAGCAUUACAGCAGUAUAAAGAAGAGCGGUAUUUUGGAAAUAAAGAAGAGCAUCUAUUAAA